rnacentral:rRNA from 1 species
UACGAAGGGGGCUAGCGUUGCUCGGAAUUACUGGGCGUAAAGCGCACGUAGGCGGCUCUUUAAGUCGGGGGUGAAAUCCUGGAGCUCAACUCCAGAACUGCCUUCGAUACUGAGAGUCUUGAGUCCGGGAGAGGUGAGUGGAACUGCGAGUGUAGAGGUGAAAUUCGUAGAUAUUCGCAAGAACACCAGUGGCGAAGGCGGCUCACUGGCCCGGUACUGACGCUGAGGUGCGAAAGCGUGGGGAGCAAACAGG